rnacentral:lncRNA from 1 species
UGGGGCAAAACAUCUCAUUCUGAGUACACAAGGAAUACUACACAAGAUAGACAAAAGCUUCGAAAAGUAGAAGAAAAGUUGACUGCUGUCACUUAAAAGAAUAUCGACUUAGAGGACAAAUAUAUCCAAGUACAAGCCAAGCUAUCUUUCGUGAAACAAAUUUUAGAAAGCUUACAAAGCCAAUAUCAUUAGCAAGCUUAAUCUAAUGGAAUGCAUGCCCCACUAAUUUAUACUACACAGGUAUA